UUGCUACUUUUGCGAAUGUUUUUAUUUUGUUUGAGAGAUAAAAUUACUGCGUCUGAUUUGCCCAUCGCGACUUCCAUUCUUUACCCAAACGUUGUGCUUCCCGUUAUUAGAAUUUUUCGUGUUGAAAUUGAUAUAAAACAAACCACUUAUAAAAAGUUCAGUAUUUUUUUGGAAUAUUGCGCCUCUUUGGGCCUUAUUGAACUCAAUAAUCAGAAGGGACAAGUUGGAGUUCAAUAUUUAAUGAAAGUUAACACGAACCACAAUUUAUUUUCAAUUAUUGCUGAUGAAGUUUUUCCUUCUGAAAAACACGAAUGUUUACCUCAAAUAAACUUUGUGGUACCGAAAAAAGGUCCUCGCGUUAUAUCCAUCCGUUUGGCCAAAAUUCGCGGGAAUAAAAACGUGACGCUCGUCUCAAAUUUGGAAAAUUUUGGAGUUGUUUUUACUUCCGAAUUUAAAAAAGAACUUUCCCGAACUUUUUCUGUUUCUGUUUGUUUUUAUUCAAACAAACAACAACCGGAAGGCCAAAU